AGAGUUUGAUCCUGGCUCAGGAUUAACGCUGGCGGCGUGCCUAACACAUGCAAGUCGAGCGGCAGCGAGUUUUACACUGAAUUCUGGAAGCUUCUGGGUAAUAUAGAAGAUCUAUUCAAGAAUUUUGUGUAAAAUGUCGGCGAGCGGCGGACGGCUGAGUAACGCGUAGGAAUUUGCCCCAAAGUGAGGAAUAACUGCCCGAAAGGGUAGCUAAUGCCGCAUAUGGUCUUCGGAUUAAAGCCUUCGGGCGCUUUGGGAGAAGCCUGCGUUGGAUUAGGUAGUUGGUAGGGUAAUGGCCUACCAAGCCGACGAUCCAUAGCUGGUCUGAGAGGAUGAUCAGCCAGACUGGAACUGAGACACGGUCCAGACUCCUACGGGAGGCAGCAGUGAGGAAUCUUCCACAAUGGGCGAAAGCCUGAUGGAGCAACGCCGCGUGCAGGAUGAAGGCCUUCGGGUUGUAAACUGCUUUUAUAAGUGAGGAUUAUGACAGUAACUUAUGAAUAAGGAUCGGCUAACUACGUGCCAGCAGCCGCGGUCAUACGUAGGAUCCGAGCGUUAUCCGGAGUGACUGGGCGUAAAGAGUUGCGUAGGUGGUUCAAUAAGCGAAUAGUGAAAUCUGGUGGCUCAACCAUUCAGACUAUUAUUCGAACUGUUGAACUCGAGAGCAGAAGAGGUAGCUGGAAUUUCUAGUGUAGGAGUGAAAUCCGUAGAUAUUAGAAGGAACACCGAUGGCGUAGGCAGGUUACUGGGCCAUUUCUGACGCUAAGGCACGAAAGCGUGGGGAGCGAACCGGAUUAGAUACCCGGGUAGUCCACGCCGUAAACGAUGGAUACUAGCUGUUUGGGGUAUCGACCCCCUGAGUAGCGAAGCUAACGCGUUAAGUAUCCCGCCUGUGGAGUACGAUCGCAAGAUUAAAACAUAAAGGAAUUGACGGGGACCCGCACAAGCGGUGGAGCGUGAUCUUUAAUUCGAUGGUAAACGAUAAACCUUACCAAGGCUUGACAUCCGAUGUAGGCUCUCGAAAGAGAACUGUGCCUUCGGGAACAUCGAGACAGGUGAUGCAUGGCCGUCGUCAGCUCGUGUCGUGAGAUGUUUGGUUAAGUCCAUCAACGAGCGCAACCCUUGCAACCAGUUGUAUUUUUCUGGUAGGACUGCCCCGGUAACGGGGAGGAAGGAGGGGAUGAUGUCAGGUCAGUAUUU
rnacentral:rRNA from 1 species